GGACCCGCACAAGCGGUGGAGCAUGUGGUUUAAUUCGAUGCAACGCGAAAAACCUUACCUACUCUUGACAUACUUGGAAGCUCUUGUAAUGAGAGUGUGCCUUUUGGAACCAAGAUACAGGUGCUGCAUGGCUGUCGUCAGCUCGUGUCGUGAGAUGUUCCGUUAAGUCGGAUAACGAGCGCAACCCUUACCCUUAUUUGCCAGCGAUUCGGUCGGGAACUAUAAGGGGACUGCCGGUGAUAAACCGGAGGAAGGUGAGGACGACGUCAAGUCAUCAUGGCCCUUACGAGUAGGGCUACACACGUGCUACAAUGGCCAGUACAAAAGGAAGCGAAAUUGUGAAAUGGAGCAAAUCCUAUCAAAGCUGGUCUCAGUCCGGAUUGGAGUCUGCAACUCGACUCCAUGAAGUAGGAAUCGCUAGUAAUCGU
rnacentral:rRNA from 1 species